CAUGGGUAACUCAACUGGUCACAGAGAUGAAAUUUGUCACAAGAGAUCAAGGAUCGAGUCUCACCAGCGGCAGUGUGAGAGCAACCUCUCAAAAUGAGAGGGGUUCCUUGUGCACAGUGAGCAAAAUCUAGUCUCUGUUGAUCAGUUGAGUCACCAUGAUUUACCCCUCGACAAUUCUGUCGGGCCGAGGUGGGGUGGGCGAUUCCACCUUUUUGUCACAAGAAUAUAGGGAGGUCACAAAUG